rnacentral:rRNA from 1 species
UACAGAGGGGGCAAGCGUUGUCCGGACUUACUGGGUGUAAAGCGCAUGCAGGUGGCUGUGCAAGUAUGCUGUGAAAGCCCCGUGCUUAACACGGGGAGGCCAGUAUAGACUGCACGGCUCGAGGACUGCAGAGGGUAGGGGAAUUGCUGGUGUAGUGGUGAAAUGCGUAGAGAUCAGCAGGAACACCAAGGACGAAGGUACCUACCUGGGCAGUAACUGACACUCAAGUGCGAAAGCGUGGGGAGCGAACCGG